UUCAUUUCUGGACUUCUCAGUAGCCCAAGAAGAAGGACAGCAAAACCAUCCACUCUGACCUCCUGGGAGCCCCCCCUGUUUUCUGCAGCCUUUGCAUUUCAAAGGACAUGCUGUGGGGUACGUGUACCUGCCCUGGUUUUUCCGGGGGGAGCUGAGUGCUUGAAGAAAAUCCCACUGGCUUUGGGGGGUGCCGAGUGCCCUGUAACUGCCUCUGCCUGCUUGUUGUGUGAGUACGAGUUGAAAUUAUUCGUUUGUCCUCCGGCCUUUACUGAAUUCACAUUCUGGUACCAGACGCCGUGCUAUGUCCCUUUUACCUGGAAGGUCGUUAGUCAACUCCAAUAGGACAGCAAGGUUUAUUUUUUGGGGGGGAGGAGAAGGGGGGAGGCAGAGAGGUUAAUGACCCUCACCCUUUCAGUACAGUUCAUAGACCGGUUCCUGUAAACAGCAGUGUUUUCCUCUCACGGAGGGUUCUGCACAAACACCAAGGCGGGUCGGGGUCAAGUGUCCCUUAUACAUGCGUAGGGCCCCCAAAUCCAGAUGAUUCUACCACGUGACGGGCUGCUCCGCCCUGGAUCAGGGACCGACCCCAAGCCAAGCUCAGCUCCAUUCUCAAGCCACGGGGCGGUGAGAGUCGUCCUUGUUCUCGGGGGGCCUUCAUCUCCACUUUCUCACACUCCCAGGGUGCUCGCUGCACCUAGGGAUCUUCCUUACCAGCUUUUCGCUCUCCAAACACCCCUGUGGGCGAUCUCAGAGGCGUGUCCCUCAAGUGAGCUGUAGGAAGCAAAAGCAUGAAUCCCAAGUCAACCACUUACUAGAGUUGUGAUGUGGGGGCAGAUUUUACUUAACCACUUUCAGCUUUCAUUUUCUCAACCCUCAAGCAGGGAUAGCGAUGGCAUGAUAUUGACUUCAAAAGGUCCUUGGGCAGAUUCAACACAUCUAAGACCCUGAGGCAUGGGGCCUUUGCUCACUGUUAUAGUCCCAUUGCUUAGAUGAGUGG